CCUGGCGGCAGUAGCGCGGUGGUCCCACCUGACCCCAUGCCGAACUCAGAAGUGAAACGCCGUAGCGCCGAUGGUAGUGUGGGGUCUCCCCAUGCGAGAGUAGGGA
rnacentral:rRNA from 1 species